GACGAACGCUGGCGGCGCGCUUAACACAUGCAAGUCGAACGGAAAGGCCUGCUUUCCCUUGUGGAUUGCGGGUACUCGAGUGGCGAACGGGUGAGUAACACGUGAGUGAUCUGCCCCCAACUUGGGUAUAAGCCUGGGAAACUGGGUCUAAUUCCCAAUAGGACUGCAGGGUGGUGCCUGUGGUGGAAAACGAUUUUCUAGUGGUUGGGGAUGAGCUCGCGGCCUAUCAGCUUGUUGGUGGGGUAAUGGCCUACCAAGGCGGCGACGGGUAGCCGGCCUGAGAGGGUGGACGGCCCCAUUGGGACUGAGAUACGGCCCAGACUCCUACGGGAGGCAGCAGUGGGGAAUAUUGCACAAUGGGCGGAAGCCUGAUGCAGCGACGCCGCGUGGGGGAUGACGGCCUUCGGGUUGUAAACUCCUUUCGACCGCGAGGAAGCCACCUGGUUGGAAGGGUGGUGACGGUAGUGGUAGAAGAAGCACCGGCUAACUACGUG
rnacentral:rRNA from 1 species